rnacentral:rRNA from 1 species
GAUGAACGCUGGCGGCGUGCCUAAUACAUGCAAGUCGAGCGAACGGACGAGAAGCUUGCUUCUCUGAUGUUAGCGGCGGACGGGUGAGUAACACGUGGAUAACCUACCUAUAAAACUGGGAUAACUUCGGGAAACCGUAGCUAAUACCGGAUAAUAUUUUGAACCGCAUGGUUCAAAAGUGAAAGACGGUCUUGCUGUCACUUAUAGAUGGAUCCGCGCUGCAUUAGCUAGUUGGUAAGGUAACGGCUUACCAAGGCAACGAUGCAUAGCCGACCUGAGAGGGUGAUCGGCCACACUGGAACUGAGACACGGUCCAGACUCCUACGGGAGGCAGCAGUAGGGAAUCUUCCGCAAGGGGCGAAAGCCUGACGGAGCAACGCCGCGUGAGUGAUGAAGGUCUUCGGAUCGUAAAACUCUGUUAUUAGGGAAGAACAUAUGUGUAAGUAACUGUGCACAUCUUGACGGUACCUAAUCAGAAAGCCACGGCUAACUACGUG